CACUGCCGUUGGGAAUGUAAAUUAGUUCAGCCACCAUGGAAAGCAAUUUGGAGAUUUCUCAAAAAACUUAUAACUUCCACUGGAAUUUUAAUCCGGAUUGCAUUGAAUUUGGUUUCUUUUAGGUGGGUCCCCGGAGGAGGAGUGGGAGAAUGCAAAGAGAAGACAGCAUGUGGGCACAGGCUCCAGGAGAAGCUUUCUUUGAGCUUCACCAGACUCUGUGAUCACUUUAAAGAUAAAGAGGCCAGGCAGGGCCUGGCGGCUCACGCCUGUCAUCCCAGCACUUUGGGAGGCUGAGGCAGGCAGAUCAUCUGAGGUCAGGAGUUCGAGAC